CAAGGUCCUGCCUAGCCCUUAGGGAGGCACGCAGAGUAGUGAAGAGUCGGGCAGGCGUGGAUCUGAAUCCCAUGUCCACUGGUGACUACUUUGUAAAACUUUGUCAACCACAUUGAGCCUCAUCUGUCAAAUGGAAAUCCUCUUAUGGUGUUAUUAUGACAGUUAAAUGAAUUAAUGCGUGUAAAUGAAUUAAUGCGUAAUCUUAGCACAGAGUAAGCACUCAAAUAGAAUUUUAGCUGGUAUUACAAUACUAAUAUAGUUUUCGUUAAUAUUUGUGCAUUUGCCUUGAGACUUUUCUUGAGGCCGAAGAUAUAUUUGUUCUGUCCUACAAAGUAUAUGACUAAGAGAAAAACAGGAAAUGUGACUUACUCCGUCCACUAAGCAAGCGUUUGUAAGCACUGACUGCAUUGCCAAGUGCUGUGCUGGGUCCCUCCCUCCUGCCUCCCUCCCUCGUCCUCCCACGAACAUUUACUGUGUGUCUAAGACGUGUCAGGCACUGGGUUAGAUUUUAGGAAAACAGCAGUGAGAGAGACAAAUGUUCCCUUCUGUCACAGAGCUUACGAUCCAGGGGAAAGGCAUCUAUUACUCAAGUACACCCAGGCAUAAGUUCUAGGGAGCCACGGAGAGGUUCUAGAUGCUACAGUAGUGCUCAUCCGGUAUGGGGGCUUCCAGAUCUGCAGGGUCAGCAAAACCGUCAGGUUAGGAGUUUCCAUUUAUGAAGCUGCUCCUCAAAAAACAUAUGGAGGGUUCUUUCAUUCACCCGUCCAUCCAUCCUUCCGUCCAUUCAACAAACAUUGAUGGAACACCUACCACGCGCAGCGCCCCACGGAGACACGGAGGUAGAAACCAUACUUCCUGCUCUCCAGGGACGGCCUUUUACAGUCUCAUAAAGGAGAUAAGACAAGACGUGAACACAAGGAACUAUGAUCAAGGUAGUAAAUGAGUAAGUACCGAGGAGAGAAAAAUAAGGUGAGAUGAAGGUUCAGAAGAGGGAGGCAUCACUUCUGGCCAAAAGAAACAGAGAGUAGAAGGAUUUCUUCAAAGUAUGAUCUAUCACCCUCCGACUCCUGGUUUAAAAGCCUCACACAGUUAUUAGCUGUAUGACCUUGGGCAAAUCAUAAAUUUUCUGUGUCUUAGUUUGCUUAUCUUUUAAAAGGAACGGUUGGACUGAACAAUCUUGAAGGUCCUUUCCGCUCUAAAGUAGUGGGAUACAUAAUUUUUCAUGAGAGGGCCCAGCGAAAUAUGUGACAAUCUUUUCUUUAUACAACCAGAGUAACUCUUUAAACCUAAAUAAGAUCAUGUUACCCACGGCUUAAAACCCUUUCGUGGCUGCAUUUCAAAGAAAAACUACACCCUUUUUGAUGGCGCACAAGGCCCUGCGUGUCUGGCCCUGCGGUCGCUGUAGCCCCCUCUCCCAGACUCCUCCUCCCACCUCGGCUGUCUGGUCACAGGGACCCCUUUUCCAUUCCUAGUGCGCCAA
rnacentral:lncRNA from 1 species